AUUGAACGCUGGCGGCAGGCCUAACACAUGCAAGUCGAACGGUAACAGGAAGAAGCUUGCUUCUUUGCUGACGAGUGGCGGACGGGUGAGUAAUGUCUGUGAAACUGCCUGAUGGAGGGGGAUAACUACUGGAAACGGUAGCUACUACCGCAUAAUGUCGCAAGACCAAAGAGGGGGACCUUCGGGCCUCUUGCCUUCGGAUGUGCCCAGAUGGGAUUAGCUAGUAGGUGGGGUAACGGCUCACCUAGGCGACGAUCCCUAGCUGGUCUGAGAGGAUGACCAGCCACACUGGAACUGAGACACGGUCCAGACUCCUACGGGAGGCAGCAGUGGGGAAUAUUGCACAAUGGGCGCAAGCCUGAUGCAGCUAUGCCGCGUGUAUGAAGAAGGCCUUCGGGUUGUAAAGUACUUUCAGCGGGGAGGAAGGGAGUAAAGUUAAUACCUUUGCUCAUUGACGUUACCCGCAGAAGAAGCACCGGCUAACUCCGUG
rnacentral:rRNA from 1 species